rnacentral:rRNA from 1 species
AUACGGAGGAUCCGAGCGUUAUCCGGAUUUAUUGGGUUUAAAGGGAGCGUAGGUGGACAGUUAAGUCAGUUGUGAAAGUUUGCGGCUCAACCGUAAAAUUGCAGUUGAUACUGGCUGUCUUGAGUACAGUAGAGGUGGGCGGAAUUCGUGGUGUAGCGGUGAAAUGCAUAGAUAUGACGAAGAACACCGAUUGCGUAGGCAGCUGACCAGAUCGCAAAUGACGCUCAUGCACGAAAGUGCGGGGAUCGAACAGGAUUAGAUACCCUGGUAGUCCGCACAGUAAACGAUGAAUACUUGUUUUCGGCGAUAUAAUGUCGGAGGCAAAGCGAAAGCGAUAAGUAUUCCACCUGGGGAGUACGCCGGCAACGGUGAAACUCAAAUGAAUUGACGGGG